CACCGCAAGACCAAUUUCAAGAUGAUUGUCGGAGCUGACUGUGCUGUUUCUGCAUGUAGACCCUUCCCUUUGCCUGUACACCCCCGAAACUCCCCUUUAAAGGCUCUGAUUGGCAGGGGGAGUUGGCUUUUGGACACACAAGUCUGCCUUCUCCCCCCGGGUUGCUGGCCUCCUGUGUGAAGCAACCUCUCCUUUCCUACCAACACCUGUUUCUUGAGUAUUGGCUUUCAAGCUUCGAGCAGCCAGACCUGAGCUCCGUAACAUCUUAAAGGUGCAGCUCGAUGAAUCAAAUUCUGUGCGCACCCAGGAGUCACGGCUCAGAUCCAGAAAGAAGCUUCUGAUCACCCCCAGAAAAUCCCAAGUAUUCCUUCCCAGUCAUGCCCACCCUCCUGAGGUCCCGUCACUCUGAUUUCUGUCAUUGUGGCUUAGAUUUUCCCGCCCUUGAACCUCUUGAAUGGAAUCCUGCUCUUGUUUCUGGCUUUUUUUUUUUCCUUUAAAGUCAGCUUUAUUGAGGGACAGUCUACACACAGUAAAAUGGACCCAUUUUAAGUGUGUAGACUGAUGAGUGUUGGCAGCUGUAUCACGCAGUGGCCCCAGUCAAGGCAUAGAACAUUUCCAUCCUCCAAGAAGUAUAUUGGUGCCCCUUCGCGGUCAACACUCCUCCUCCAUCCCUAAGACACCACUAAUCACCUUUCUGUGACUGUACAUUAACCUUUCCUAGAGUUUCAUAGAAAGAGAACCAUAUAUUAAGUGCUUUUUUCUGGCUUCUUUUACUCAGUACAUCUAUGAGGUUCAUCCGUGCUGUGCUUUCUAGUGGCUUGUUCUCUUUUUGUUGCUGUGUGUGUUAAGUUCCAUCCUUUGAUGGGUGGUUGGGUUUCACGAAGCUCGGGGCAAGCCACCCCCAAAUAUGCCAAAGGGGCAGAUUGAUUAUGCUGAAUUAAAGUUACUUGAGAAACAGUGGAGGCAAGAAGGGCACUCUGACCCUCCUCUCUGUCCCCCUGAAAGCAGAAAAUAAAUCUCCCAUGUGGAAUAUACCCUUCCUGCACCAGGAGGUAGAGAGACAUCCUUAUCACCAGAGAUGGGGAAUUCCAGGCAAGAAGGCUGUGUAACAGACUCUGCCUAGUUUCUUCGCUAAUGAGUACCCAAACCUGAGUUUCUUUGUCUUGUCAGUUCUUCACAAAUUUGUUGUUUCUUUGUCUAAAAAGCAUAAAAGCUGCCUGCUUUGGUCAUUUCUUUGGGGCCCAUAUCUAUGAGACCUCGGCAUGUAGGAAAUUCAAUUUGGUUUUUUUCUCCUUCUGUUAAUCUGUCUUGUGUCAAUUCAACUAUCCUGGACAGGCUAUUUUCAGUUUGGGGCUCAAAGAAUAAAGCUGGUAUGACUCUCCUUGUUCAUAAUCCUGUCUUACCGGCUUCUUAAGGUUCUUGAGUGGACGAACCUGGAUUUGCUCAUGAAUCUUCUGUCAUGGGCAUUAAGGUUAUUUCACACCUUUUUGCUUUUAAAAUUAGCAGUGUGAUGAACAUCUUUGUCCUUAAGGGAUAAUUUCCUUCAGCAAAGAUCAUUUCUGUGGUCCUCAGGCCUCUGAACCCUCCUAUCUUCCCUCCUGCCCACUCUCAUCUGGGUCAGCCCCAGAUGGGCUGCUCUGGAACCUGGCCUCUGGGGGUGGGGUGGGACUAUCCCCCCCUCCCUCCCACCCAGCGCCUGGCAUAGCAUGGGCACACAUCCAAUGCCAGGAGACCCCUUGCUGGCUUGAAUUUACAGCCUGCCCUUCUUCCUUAGCCUCCCCCAGGCCCCAUGCGGAAGCUAAGCGGCAGCAGGAAGCCCUGGUCUGGGAGUUGAGGAACCCGUUUCUGCUGGGCCCGGGAAAGCCCUGGACACACCCACGUGGGGGCUGGGGCCCUCACUUCCCCGCCUCGCAGCUCCGGCCACUCCUUGGGGGAAGCCCCAGAGGGGGUGGCAUCUUUAGCGGAAAGAGCCCCUAGUUGAUCCAUCCAGGCUGCCACUCACUGGUGUCUGUCCCUGGGGAGUCUGGCAGCUCCGGGGCAGCCCUCUUCCAGGACAUGGGAGCCCAAUGGCUGGAAGAUGGAUGUAACCUGGUGCCCACUUCCUUAGCUGCCGUGUGGGUAGAGAGCAGCUGGUAGCCUUGAUGCAAAUCCUCCCGCAGUUCUAGUCCCUCCGGACGAGGCUGCUGGCUUUCAACUGCCCCAGAAACUAGCCUAGCUGCAUUCCAGACCCCCUGGCACAGGGGAAAAGGUCCUGACUUCCAGCCCCUGUCAUCUCAAGGGAGAAGAUGGGCCAGCCAGGGCGCCCCGGUGAGAAGGUCUCUGACACCCAGCUGUCUGGUGCAACCGCCCCCCCCCCACCAUGCCGCGGCUGAUGCCAUCCCUGGCCCCGAGGACUCGGACCUGGUGCCCUCCCUGACCCUGGCUGCGGCUCUGGUUCUGUUGUUCCUCUUGUUCUCGGCCUGGCUGGUAUGGGACAGGGCCCUCCGAGGUUUUUGCUAAUGUGGGCUCCCAAGCAGGGAGUGUGGGUAUCCCUGGGGCGGGAGUGGCACCGGCCCCUCCAGCCACACCCUGGGCCAAAUCCUGUGGCCAGCCACUCAGCCCUCGCCCGUGGCAGCCCCAGUGGGACCCCAGGAGGCCCCCAACUCCCUCCCACUGGAGGGCAGGAACCCCGAUGAGCCAUGGAGUCUGCAGCAGAAAGUCGCUGCUGGAGCCUCAUGUCUGGGGACGGCCACAGAAGGUGGGCUGAGGACCUGGGGCAGCCGAGAGUGCCCAGGCAGAUGGGCCUCAAAAGCGUCCCGUCCUGGCUGGCUGCGGGGUGUGGUGGGGUCCCCAUCCUUGUACCGCCAUCCUGAGUGUUGCAGAUAAAGCCAGGUGACCUCUGGGUAUUGGUGGAAUGAAUCAGAACGAGUCGGGGGACGAGAGCUCCAGCCCAGGCUCUGCCCAUGCUGGGCCGUGUGAUGGUGGGCGAGGCCCUUCUCCAUUCCAAACCUCGGUUUCCCAGUCAUCAAAGGAGGAUGGCAAUACCUACUUCGGGGCAUCGUUGGGAGGGCCCCCCAGUAGGUAGGCAUUCUGUGGUCACCUCCGCAGCACACAGUCUCCCUUUGUGUCCGUCCCUCUUCCUCCUCCUGGAACCCAGAAAACCCUUGGAGGAAGCCCCGCACCCUCCCCAGGGCUGAGGCCAGUCAGAGACGGGAUGCGCUGGUCUUGGCCGCCACCUGGUGGCUGAAGUCAGAACUACACCAUCCCUUUAGCGUUCCCUUCAGGGCAGAGGAAGUGAAGGUGUUUGUUUUAUUUUUUAAAUUUUGAGAUUGUGGAUAAGCACAAAUCGGAUUACGUGGAGAAAACUUCUUUUACCAUUUGCUAGUUAUCUUCUUUCCCUCUAUUUCCGUAUCUAUAAUCUCCUUACCAAAAAAGCAUCAGGCCGAAGGCGGAG